rnacentral:snoRNA from 1 species
AUUUCUUGAUGAUGGAAGAGCAGUGAAGGAUCUUUGAAGGGCUGAGUGUUCAGAGUCAACAGAAACCAAAGCAGCAUCUGUAUCUCCAGAUGAGAAGU